rnacentral:rRNA from 1 species
UCCGCCCGCUGGCGGCGUGCCUAAUACAUGCAAGUUGAGCGAUGAAGAUUGGUGCUUGCACCAAUUUGAAGAGCAGCGAACGGGUGAGUAACGCGUGGGGAAUCUGCCUUUGAGCGGGGGACAACAUUUGGAAACGAAUGCUAAGACCGCAUAACAACUUUAAACAUAAGUUUUAAGUUUGAAAGGUGCAAUUGCAUCACUCAAAGAUGAUCCCGCGUUGUAUUAGCUAGUUGGUGAGGUAAAGGCUCACCAAGGCGAUGAUACAUAGCCGACCUGAGAGGGUGAUCGGCCACAUUGGGACUGAGACACGGCCCAAACUCCUACGGGAGGCAGCAGUAGGGAAUCUUCGGCAAUGGACGAAAGUCUGACCGAGCAACGCCGCGUGAGUGAAGAAGGUGUUCGGAUCGUAAAGCUCUGUUGGUAGAGAAGAACGUUGGUGAGAGUGGAAAGCUCAUCAAGUGACGGUAACUACCCAGAAAGGGACGGCUAACUACGUGC